UCAAGAAACUUCCACAAUGGGCGAAAGCCUGAUGGAGCGACGUCGCGUGAUGGACGAAGUGCUUCGGCACGUAAACAUCUUUUAUGUGGGAUGAAAUUAUUGACAGUACCACAUGAAUAAGGGGCUCCUAACUCUGUGCCAGCAGGAGCGGUAAUACAGAGGCCCCAAGCGUUAUCCGGAAUCACUGGGCGUAAAGGGUGUCGAGGCGGUUGUAUUAGUCGUUCGUAAAAUCUACGAGCUUAACUUGUAGGCGGCGAACGAAACGGUACGACUUGAGGUUUGGAGAGGUGCGUGGAACUCACGGUGUAGGGGUGAAAUCCGUUGAUAUCGUGGGGAACACCAAAGGCGAAGGCAGCGCACUGGCCAAAAUCUGACGCUCACACACGAAAGCUAGGGUAGCGAAUGGGAUUAGAUACCCCGGUAGUCCCUGAGCGGGCUGGCAAGGCGCAU
rnacentral:rRNA from 1 species